AGCAGCAGCCGCGGGAAUACGGAGGGAGCUAGCGUUGUUCGGAAUUACUGGGCGUAAAGCGCGCGUAGGCGGUUACUCAAGUCAGAGGUGAAAGCCCGGGGCUCAACCCCGGAACUGCCUUUGAAACUAGGUGACUAGAAUCUUGGAGAGGUCAGUGGAAUUCCGAGUGUAGAGGUGAAAUUCGUAGAUAUUCGGAAGAACACCAGUGGCGAAGGCGACUGACUGGACAAGUAUUGACGCUGAGGUGCGAAAGCGUGGGGAGCAAACAGGAUUAGAUACCCCAGUAGUCCCUGUCUCUUAUAC
rnacentral:rRNA from 1 species